GUCUGGGUGGUGUAGUUGGUUAUCACCCUAGUCUAACACACUAGGGGUCUCGGUUCAAACCCGAUCUUAGACC